rnacentral:rRNA from 1 species
AGAGCGAACGCUGGCGGCGUGCUUAACACAUGCAAGUCGAGCGGAAAGGCCCUUCGGGGUACUCGAGCGGCGAACGGGUGAGUAACACGUGAGCAAUCUGCCCUUAGCUCUGGGAUAGCUCCGGGAAACCGGGAUUAAUACCAGAUACGACCACUUUAGACAUCUUUUGUGGUGGAAAGAACUUCGGCUAAGGAUGAGCUCGCGGCCUAUCAGCUUGUUGGUGGGGUAAUGGCCUACCAAGGCGACGACGGGUAGCCGGCCUGAGAGGGCGACCGGCCACACUGGGACUGAGACACGGCCCAGACUCCUACGGGAGGCAGCAGUGGGGAAUAUUGCGCAAUGGGCGAAAGCCUGACGCAGCGACGCCGCGUGGGGGAUGAAGGCCUUCGGGUUGUAAACCCCUUUCAGCAGGGACGAAGCGAAAGUGACGGUACCUGCAGAAGAAGCGCCGGCUAACUACGUGCCAGCAGCCGC